CACGCUCUGUUUACACAUCCACUCACACCUGUGCACCCUCUGUAGUUCUGUGGCCUGGGGGUUUCUACCCCCUCGCUGCGGUCCUACGUCUUUACACACACACUGUAACAAAGUCUUGUGGAAUGUACGUCGCGUUUAACGCAAUACAAUACAACUUUCAGCAACGGAUCUCUUGGCUCUCGCAUCGAUGAAGAACGCAGCGAAAUGCGAUAAGUAAUGUGAAUUGCAGAAUUCAGUGAAUCAUCGAAUCUUUGAACGCACCUUGCGCCCUUUGGCUAUUCCGAAGGGCAUGCCUGUUUGAGUAUCAUGAACACCUCAACUCUCAUGGUUUGCCAUGAUGAGCUUGGACUUUGGGGGUCUUGCUGGCCUGUGGUCGGCUCCUCUCAAACGAAUCAGCUUGCCAGUGUUUGGUGGCGAUCGCGAGUGUGAUAACUAUCUGCGCUUGCGGUUUUCCGCCAGUUAACCUUCAGUGAUGAAGGUUCGCUGGAGCUCAUAAGCGUCCCUCCUCUGUGAGGACAACUUUUUGAACGUUUGAUCUCAAAUCAGGUAGGACUACCCGCUGAACUUAAGCAUAUCAAUAAGCGGAGGA
rnacentral:rRNA from 1 species